rnacentral:lncRNA from 10 species
CUGCAGACCAGGAUGGUGGGACCGAGGUUGCUAACAAAGCGCUGCUGAGACCUGCACAGCAUGGAGGACAAUCAUGCUGGCUGUUAGUGAAGAAUGGCCUGGAGCACUGGGUCUCCGCCCCAGCUGCCUGGGAGAAACUGUGUUGAAGGAGCCAUACCCCCUGGCCUCCCCUCCAGACUCCAGACAACCCCAGUCAGCUGGCUGGGAGGGAGGCAGAAGAGAAACAGGGGUGCACCUGGGGCUCCUGCAGGGGUCCAGCCAGGAGAUGGGGGCAACUUGGACAGGGACGAUCCUGGGAAGGGCAGGAGGAGGAGUGAGACCUGGCCUGCCCUCUCCCUAGAGGCUCAUCAGCUCCCUGGAGACAGACACGCCCUGGUUCCUUUCCCUAUGCCUGGAGCCUGGGUACCAGCUAUUGAAAACUGCUUUUCUCCUUGUUCAUUCAAACAUAUUCACACAUAAAGGUUGUCAUUCCUUUUUGUCACUAUUUGACAAAAAUUGGAUCAUACCGUAUACAAUUCUCUGCUAUUUGUUUUGCUCACCUAACAAUAAAUACACUGUGAAAAAUACCUUCAGAUGAGUAGAUAUCAAUCUUGUUCAUUCUUUUUUUU